rnacentral:tRNA from 1 species
GCGGGAUUAGUAUAGUGGUAUUAUGUAACCUUCCCAAGGUUGAGACACGGGUUCAAUUCCCGUAUCCCGCU